GUCAAACACAAAGCGAUCUCUGCUGAUUCCACCAUUGCUCUGAAGGACUCUGAGGCCACAUGCGUCACCAACCACUGUAAGCUGUGAGCUUUCCUCUGACUGGCCAUCAGGUCUGAUGUUGAAGGACAGCUGAUGUAGAAUUGUCAGCGGGCUCCGCCACAGAAUCUUCUGCUCCAAACUCCCACUGGUGGGGUUCAUGAACUGAAUGAAUGGACAGCACGAUCGACUGUCCGUCCUCUUCAUUGCCGGACUGUUGCUCAGCACAGAUUCAAGAGGGGAUCUUAAAGCAUGAAUGAAAACUACUUUUAUCGUCACUUGCCAUUGAUACUUCAGGGGAGCCUAAGCAGAGGCAAGAUCUUUACACAGAGAACAUGCACACACAACUUGGACUGCUAACAAAUGGUGAGUGUUUUUACCUCCUGUAACUGC